rnacentral:rRNA from 1 species
UACGUAGGGUGCAAGCGUUGUCCGGAAUUAUUGGGCGUAAAGAGCUCGUAGGCGGUCUGUCGCGUCUGCUGUGAAAAUCCAGGGCUCAACCCUGGACCUGCAGUGGGUACGGGCAGACUAGAGUGCGGUAGGGGAGAUCGGAAUUCCUGGUGUAGCGGUGAAAUGCGCAGAGUAUCAGGAGGAACACCGGUGGCGAAGGCGGAUCUCUGGGCCGUGAACUGACGCUGAGGAGCGAAAGCAUGGGGAGCGAACAGG